GACGAACGCUGGCGGCGUGCCUAAUACAUGCAAGUAGAACGCUGAAGAGAGGGGCUUGCUCUUCUUGGAUGAGUUGCGAACGGGUGAGUAACGCGUAGGUAACCUGCCUUGUAGCGGGGGAUAACUAUUGGAAACGAUAGCUAAUACCGCAUAACAAUGGAUGACACAUGUCAUUUAUUUGAAAGGGGCAAUUGCUCCACUACAAGAUGGACCUGCGUUGUAUUAGCUAGUAGGUGAGGUAACGGCUCACCUAGGCGACGAUACAUAGCCGACCUGAGAGGGUGAUCGGCCACACUGGGACUGAGACACGGCCCAGACUCCUACGGGAGGCAGCAGUAGGGAAUCUUCGGCAAUGGGGGCAACCCUGACCGAGCAACGCCGCGUGAGUGAAGAAGGUUUUCGGAUCGUAAAGCUCUGUUGUAAGUCAAGAACGAGUGUGAGAGUGGAAAGUUCACACUGUGACGGUAGCUUACCAGAAAGGGACGGCUAACUACGUGCCAGCAGCCGCGGUAAUACGUAGGUCCCGAGCGUUGUCCGGAUUUAUUGGGCGUAAAGCGAGCGCAGGCGGUUUGAUAAGUCUGAAGUUAAAGGCUGUGGCUCAACCAUAGUUCGCUUUGGAAACUGUCAAACUUGAGUGCAGAAGGGGAGAGUGGAAUUCCAUGUGUAGCGGUAAAAUGCGUAGAUAUAUGGAGGAACACCGGUGGCGAAAGCGGCUCUCUGGUCUGUAACUGACGCUGAGGCUCGAAAGCGUGGGGAGCGAACAGGAUUAGAUACCCUGGUAGUCCACGCCGUAAACGAUGAGUGCUAGGUGUUGGAUCCUUCCCGGGAUUCAGUGCCGCAGCUAACGCAUUAAGCACUCCGCCUGGGGAGUACGACCGCAAGGUUGAAACUCAAAGGAAUUGACGGGGGCCCGCACAAGCGGUGGAGCAUGUGGUUUAAUUCGAAGCAACGCGAAGAACCUUACCAGGUCUUGACAUCCCGAUGCUAUUUCUAGAGAUAGAAAGUUACUUCGGUACAUCGGUGACAGGUGGUGCAUGGUUGUCGUCAGCUCGUGUCGUGAGAUGUUGGGUUAAGUCCCGCAACGAGCGCAACCCCUAUUGUUAGUUGCCAUCAUUCAGUUGGGCACUCUAGCGAGACUGCCGGUAAUAAACCGGAGGAAGGUGGGGAUGACGUCAAAUCAUCAUGCCCCUUAUGACCUGGGCUACACACGUGCUACAAUGGUUGGUACAACGAGUUGCGAGUCGGUGACGGCAAGCUAAUCUCUUAAAGCCAAUCUCAGUUCGGAUUGUAGGCUGCAACUCGCCUACAUGAAGUCGGAAUCGCUAGUAAUCGCGGAUCAGCACGCCGCGGUGAAUACGUUCCCGGGCCU
rnacentral:rRNA from 1 species